GAUGAACGCUGGCGGCGUGCCUAAUACAUGCAAGUCGAGCGAACGGACGAGAAGCUUGCUUCUCUGAUGUUAGCGGCGGACGGGUGAGUAACACGUGGAUAACCUACCUAUAAGACUGGGAUAACUUCGGGAAACCGGAGCUAAUACCGGAUAAUAUUUUGAACCGCAUGGUUCAAAAGUGAAAGACGGUCUUGCUGUCACUUAUAGAUGGAUCCGCGCUGCAUUAGCUAGUUGGUACGGUAACGGCUUACCAAGGCAACGAGGCAUAGCCGAACUGAGGGGGUGGUCGGCCACACUGGAACUGAGACACGGUCCAUGCUCCUACGGUAGGCAGCAGUAGGCAAUCUUACGCAAUGGGCGAAAGCCUGACGGAGCAACGCCGCGUGAGUUAUGAAGAUCUUCGGAGCGGAAAACUCUGUUAUGAGGGAAGAACAUAUGUGUAAGUAACUGUGCACAUCGUGACGGUACCUAAUCAGAAAGCCACGGCUAACUACGUG
rnacentral:rRNA from 1 species